UUCACUGAGAUCUUCCCAACCAUCUCUUUAGAAUUGGGGUUAUUUAGAGCCGAUUGAGAACACCUUAGGAGUAUGUCUAUGGAAAACAUCUGUUUACGUUGAAGUUUUAAAAAUGCCUACCCCAGGAGGGAAGGAACACCAUUAUUACCUGUCUUUGGAAUGUUGGAAAGGAAUGUUCAGUGUGGCCAAACUCAGGCUCUGAAUUGGUUUUGUCUGAAGAUGAAAAAAGUGACAAUGAAGAUAAGGAAGAGACGGAAUUGGGCGUCAUGGAGGAUCAGCGUAGUAUAAUUCUUCAUCUCAUUUCACAACUCAAACUUGGAAUGGAUUUGACCAAGGUGGUGCUUCCCACCUUUAUCCUGGAGAAGCGAUCUUUGCUGGAGAUGUAUGCAGAUUUUAUGGCGCACCCAGACCUACUGCUGGCCAUCACCGCUGGGGCCACACCAGAGGAGAGAGUCAUUUGCUUCGUGGAGUAUUAUCUCAC
rnacentral:sRNA from 1 species